rnacentral:rRNA from 1 species
UGCGUAGGCGGAAUGAUUAGUCAAUGGUGAAAUCCUACAGCUUAACUGUAGAAGUGCCGUUGAUACUGUCAUUCUUGAGUACAUUUGAAGUGGGUGGAAUGUGUCAUGUAGCGGUGAAAUGCAUAGAUAUGACACAGAACACCGAUUGCGAAGGCAGCUCACUAAACUGUAACUGACGCUGAGGCACGAAAGCGUGGGUAGCGAACAGGAUUAGAUACCCUGGUAGUCC